AUAUUUCUCUUUAUAACUAGUAUAAUAGAUUAAAUAUAUUAAAUAUUAUUAUAUUUUUUUUAUAUAUCUAAUUAAUGUUUCGAUUAAUUGCUCGAUAAUGAUUUCACUGAUUAAAUCUGAUUUUCACUUUUACAAUAUUGAUUAAAACAAAUCAUAAAAAUCGAAAAUUGAAACUAAUUGAUUAAUUUACUAAUUUAAGAUUUAUCACAUAUUUUUAAUAAAUUAAUUAUUUUUAAUUAUAUUAGAAUAUAAUUGACAAUAUAUUUAUUAACAAUAUAUUUUAUGAAGAUUAAUCGCAAUAAAUCGAGUAUUUUAGAAUUGAAACCUUGAUGGCUUGAUCUAUAAAAUAAUUCAAUAUAAGUUUUUCUGCCAGGAUUUAAAUAUUAUUAUUUUACAUAUAAGCCCAACAUAUAUUAAUUAUUUUUUAUUAAAUAUGAGUAUAUUUUAAGAUCAUCUUCCUUAAAAAAUUGUCCGAGACUCAGAGCAAGUACGCAAAAGCCAUGGCAGACGAUGGGCUUCCUCCUCCCAUACGACUUAUGAAUUUUAUUUCCGAAGAUCAGUUAGAAGAAGCUAAAAGAACAAGGGGGGCUAGGCUUGAAGAUGGUACUGCUCAGAGAGAUAGACCCCUUUUCGAGGUUUAAGCGAUUCUGUGCUUUUUGAUUGUGUUGUCUUUUGGUUUUGUUGGUUUUCAAGAUUUGUUCUUUUUGUUGAAUUAUGUUGGUAAUGUAUAAUGUAUAUGUUUGUCGAUGUGUAAUUGAGGGGAAUGGUAUUGUUGAGCUUAGACUGAAGAGUUUGGGCUCGAGCUUGACCGAGCUAUAAAUUUGUAGUUUUGAAACUUGAGUAGACGAAAAUUUGGCUUGAAAGAGUGAAGAAACUUUAGAUGGUGACAAA